rnacentral:rRNA from 1 species
AAUCAACGCUGGCGGCGUGCCUAACACAUGCAAGUCGAGCGCGAAAGGGGGAGUAAUCCCCAAGUAGAGCGGCGAACGGGUGAGUAACGCGUGGGUGAUCUACCUCCGAGUGGGGAAUAACCCCGGGAAACUGGGGCUAAUACCGCAUGACAUCCCUGAGUCACAUUGGGGAUCAAAGCCGGGGACCGCAAGGCCUGGCGUUUGGAGAUGAGCCCGCGUCCGAUUAGCUAGUUGGCGGGGUAACGGCCCACCAAGGCUUCGAUCGGUAGCCGGCCUGAGAGGGCGGACGGCCACACUGGGACUGAGACACGGCCCAGACUCCUACGGGAGGCAGCAGUGGGGAAUUUUUCGCAAUGGGGGAACCCUGACGAAGCAACGCCGCGUGGAGGAUGAAGGCCUUCGGUCGUAACUACCUGUCG